UACGGAGGGGGCUAGCGUUGUUCGGAAUUACUGGGCGUAAAGCGCACGUAGGCGGAUCAGUCAGUUAGGGGUGAAAGCCCAGGGCUCAACCCUGGAACUGCCUUUAAUACUGCUGGUCUGGAGGUCGAGAGAGGUGAGUGGAAUUCCGAGUGUAGAGGUGAAAUUCGUAGAUAUUCGGAGGAACACCAGUGGGCGAAGGCGGCUCACUGGCUCGAUACUGACGCUGAGGUGCGAAAGCGUGGGGAGCAACAGGA
rnacentral:rRNA from 1 species